rnacentral:misc_RNA from 1 species
CGACCCCCCUCGCUCGUGCGCCGGCCGCGUAACAGCGGCCGGCGCGCGGAGGUGGCGGCCACGCCCUGCGAAAACAGGGCGCGCCCGCUGAAACCGACCCUUUCUUUGGCGCGUGCUGUUGCGGUCGCCGUGCAGAGAGAGGCCCUGCGCUGUAAGCUUUGACGCUCCCCGCUGGGCACUCCCUACCGUCGCCGCCGCCCCCAACCAAC